rnacentral:rRNA from 1 species
ACGCUCGACACCUACGGGGCAGCAGUGGGGAAUAUUGCACAAUGGGGGAAACCCUGAUGCAGCGACGCCGCGUGAGCGAAGAAGUAUUUCGGUAUGUAAAGCUCUAUCAGCAGGGAAGAAACUGACGGUACCUGACUAAGAAGCACCGGCUAAAUACGUGCCAGCAGCCGCGGUAAUCUGAGCGGCUGGCAAGGC